AUUGAACGCUGGCGGCAGGCCUAACACAUGCAAGUCGAGCGGCAGCGGGAAGUAGCUUGCUACUUUGCCGGCGAGCGGCGGACGGGUGAGUAAUGUCUGGGAAACUGCCUGAUGGAGGGGGAUAACUACUGGAAACGGUAGCUAAUACCGCAUAACGUCGCAAGACCAAAGAGGGGGACCUUCGGGCCUCUUGCCAUCAGAUGUGCCCAGAUGGGAUUAGCUAGUAGGUGGGGUAAUGGCUCACCUAGGCGACGAUCCCUAGCUGGUCUGAGAGGAUGACCGGCCACACUGGAACUGAGACACGGGCCAGACUCCUCCGGGAGGCAGCAGUGGGGAAUAUUGCACAAUGGGCGCAAGCCUGAUGCAGCCAUGCCGCGUGUAUGAAGAAGGCCUUCGGGUUGUAAAGUACUUUCAGCGGGGAGGAAGGCGGUGAAGUUAAUAACUUCACCGAUUGACGUUACCCGCAGAAGAAGCACCGGCUAACUCCGUGCCAGCCGCCGCCGUAA
rnacentral:rRNA from 1 species